rnacentral:ncRNA from 1 species
UUAUUGGAGAGUUUGAUCCUGGCUCAGGACGAACGCUGGCGGCGUGCCUAAUACAUGCAAGUCGAGCGGAGCUGAUGAGGUGCUUGCACCUCAGAUGCUUAGCGGCGGACGGGUGAGUAACACGUAGGCAACCUGCCCUCCAAGACUGACUGGGAUAACUACCGGAAACGGUAGCUAAUACCGGAUAAUUUAUUUCGCC